rnacentral:rRNA from 1 species
CUUUCAGCAGUGAGGAAGGUGGGUAUGUUAAUAGCAUACUCAUUUGUACGUUAGCUGCAGAAGAAGCACCGGCUAACUCCGUGCCAGCAGCCGCGGUAAUACGGAGGUGCGAGCGUUAAUCGGAAUUACUGGGACGUAAAGCGCAUGCAGGUGGUUUAGUUAAGUCAGAUGUAGAAACGCCCGGGGCUCAACCUCGGAAUUGCUAUUUAGAAACUGGACAAACUAGAGUACUGUAGAGGGGGUAGAAUUUCAGGUGUAGCGGUGAAAAUGCGUAGAGAUCUGAAGGAAUACCGGUGGCGAAGGCGGCCCCCUGGACAGAUACUGACACUCAGAUGCGAAAGCGUGGGGAGCAAACAGGAUUAGAUACCCUGGUAG